GAUGAACGCUAGCGGCAGGCCUAACACAUGCAAGUCGAGGGAGAAGCCCUUUCGGGGGCAGAAACCGGCGCACGGGUGCGUAACGCGUAUGCAACCUACCUUUCACAGGGGGAUAGCCCGAAGAAAUUUGGAUUAAUACCCCAUAAUAUUAUUGGAUGGCAUCAUUUGAUAAUUAAAACUGCGGUGGUGAAAGAUGGGCGUGCGUCCUAUUAGCUAGUUGGAGUGGUAACGGCACCCCAAGGCUACGAUAGGUAGGGGUCCUGAGAGGGAGAUCCCCCACACUGGUACUGAGACAGGGACCAGACUCCUACGGGAGGCAGCAGUGAGGAAUAUUGGUCAAUGGUCGGAAGACUGAACCAGCCAUGCCGCGUGCAGGAAGAAUGCCUUAUGGGUUGUAAACUGCUUUUAUAUGGGAAGAAUAAGGUGUACGUGUACAUUGAUGACGGUACCAUAUGAAUAAGCAUCGGCUAACUCCGU
rnacentral:rRNA from 1 species